UUGAAAAAACUUGGGAGACAUUUGAAAAUGAAGAAGUGCUCGGUAUGUUAAUAUGAAUGUGACUCUUAGAGGGGCUGUAAUUUUAUCUCUGCUUUAGACUUAGGUGCGGUUAGACUUGUCAGAGUGGGUCACCACAGGCUGGGAUCAUCUUCACUCAUAGAUUCUAUGAGAAAGUGUAAAAUUUGUAUUCUAGAGUCUCAAUUUUCUGGUAGUUUUGACCAAUUACCAAUCAGCAGGCUUGGGUGUAUGGAGGAAAAACUGCCAUAAUGAAAUCCCAGGUACCAUCAAGGGUAGUACAAGACAGAGUGCAGGGGCAGCAAAAAGUGAUUUGAUUUAAUCCUGGAAUGUAUCAGAUACUCACCCAACAAAAAGACGUUGAAAAGACCUCUUCACCAUAUGUCUAAACAAUGUCUGGAUUCGGACCAUCUAAAUAAACCAUCUUAACUAAGCCCAUUUUUUAACAUCUUUUUGGCGCCAAUUCAGGAUCGAUUCAGACCGUAUAAAUGAAGCCCACUUUUCGUCUUUUUUUGGGCUAAAUCAUGUCAGCCCGUCAUGGCCGUAAUUUAGCCCCAAAAAAGAUGUUGAAAAGUGGGCUUCAUUUAUACGGUCCGAUUCGCUCCUAAUUUGGCAAAAAAAAAAAAAGACGUUGAAGAGUGGGCUUCAUUUAGAUGGUCUGAAUCUAGAUGUUGUUUCGAUAUAUGGUGACGAUGUCUUUUCAAUGUCUUUUUGCUGGUUGGGUAUGAGCAAUCUGAUUCCCAUUAAAAAACACAAGGUUGUUUCAGAGCAAGCCUUUUGGCCAUAAGAGACCACAGCAAAAAUGUACAUACCGUAUUUUCUGGGUUUCACAGUUUGGCUGGGUUUGCAACUUUAUACUCAGGUGCGAUUUAUAUAAAUUAAAAUAUAUAAUUUUAUAUAUAAUUUGGUCUUGGGUUUUGUAAAAUAAAUUCCACCCCAAAAAACGCGAAUUUUACUGGUAAAUGUUUUUUCUACUUCAUUAUGCAUUUUUUGGCUGGUGUGACUUAUAUUCCAGAGUGACUUAUAGUCCAGACAAUAGGGUAGUAAUUUCUGAUAAUAACAAACAAUAUUCACAUGCAUUUAUUUAAACAAACUCUAUGAGCAGUCAGAAGCAUGUAUAGGACAAACAAACCGUAGCUUCUUAACUAUUGACGAAUGUUGGAUUACAUGUGAAUUUUCUUCUGCGAAUAGUUCACACACAGAUUUGAGACCCGUUGAGAGUAAAUCAUGAAAAAAAAUAGAGUCUCUGUUUCAUACCAGUAAAGGAAGAGUGAAACUUUUGUGCUGAUAAACUCUGUCACUCAGAGGAAACCUAGAAACAGCAGCAUCUAUGUUGCAUAGACAAGAACUUCAUGACUGAAAGUAGAUGUGAACCACAGGCUACACAGUUUCUGGCAAGGAUCGCUGUCAGAUAAUAAUAGGGGGGAUUGCUUCUUACGAAACGUUGGUUGUGACCUGCUCAGUUUAGAGCACAGGAAAUGGGUCUUGUCUCUGAUACUUGCUGCAAAAUGAAAAGCUCAAACUGUCACCCACUUCUUUAAAGACGACUGACCUGCCUUCCUGCCGUGUGUUUUCUGUUCACAGGGGUGAGACGACUUGGCACAGGGCCCCGUGCGUCUGGUGAAUAGGGAGUCAUACUCCUGCACUAACACCAUUUGCCUUGUAUUCUAUGAAAUGAACCAGAGGCUCUGAGAUCAAUAGGCCCCCGUGGUGAAUACAAACAACGCUACCGGGUCCUUAUCAGGAGCCCUCUGCCAAUCUGUGGCAAGUGAAGCCUGCACCUUCCCUGGAUACACCAUUGGUCUUUGAAAUUAAAGUUGACGCCUGUAAUCCGGGGAAAUGGUCCCUCUACUCUCGCUUAACACCGGUUUAGUUUCACACCAGCUGAUGAUAAAGCAUGACAGAAAUACAGAGCACUAUCUUUACGUGGGGGUUGAUAUGUUCUGCCAGCUUAUCAGGAAACAGGCAGCUAACCUUCUUGUGCCUGGCUGGUGGACAAAACUGAGGAAUCAAUUUACAAAAGAAGCCUUGCCCUGUGGCUUGUAAAUAAAACCAUUCACUCUCUACAGAAGACAAGAAAGUUAAAUAACCAAUUUUAAAACCCACCCCAAAAUGAGUAAAUGUAUAACACUGGGGGAUAAGCGCAAGUGAUAGAGAGUAUUCAUGUAAAUCUGCCCAAGCACAGCUGCGGGAAAUUGACAGGGAUCUACUGGAGCGCUUUUCCUAUAAAGGGUGGGAUUUACAUGCCUAACUAGGGCUUAACCACCCUCCCAAGAGUUUACCUGUUACUCUGUGGCCUCUGAGCAUGCAUCUGGAUGGGCUAAGGCUGCGCUGCUUAUUCUUAAUGCCUUUUCAUCCACCAGACGAACCAAAGUUAAAGAACAUGUGUACUGUAGGUUAUGCUGAAUAAGACUGCGAGUUGCGAAUCCUGCUGCGGGUCUGCUUCAUGUGCGAUUGAGAUCACAUGUGUUCCUCCUGAGGAGAAAGUGCAAGUUGUGUCUUUUUGGACAGGAUAUGGCUUUGGGCAGUUAGGGAUGGUGGGCGUUGCUCCUGGGCUCCACAGCCGGAG
rnacentral:lncRNA from 1 species